rnacentral:tRNA from 1 species
GCUUAAAUAGUUUAUAUAAAACCUUAGAUUGUGGAGCUAAAAAAGUACCAUCUUUAAGCA